CCAGGCCGGCCACCGGGUGCUGCCCGUGACGUUGGCUGUCAGAGCAGCUAGGCUCCUAGUCUGUGCAGACAGGGUGGGGAGACAGCACCCCAGAGCCCUAGGCCCACUGGGCCGAGCUCUCCUGUGGGUCCAGUGCUCCUGGACAGGGUGGGCGGCCGAAGGGAGGGCCACAGACAACGCCGAGGGAGAGACCGGCGUGGAGGCGUGGCCACCAGGGGACGUCAGCAGCGGGGGACACGGGGGCACAUAGGCUACACGACCGUCCAGGGUCCCCUGAGCUGGCAGGCGCCCAGCUGGGCUGUGACCCGGCUGCCGGGCAGCAGUGGACGGCAGACAGACACGGCACCGUCCCCGAGCCUCAGCAGCCAAGCGGAGGAAGAAGAGCACGGGUCCGGAAAGAUGGGGGCACUGUGCACCCGCCCAGCUCAGGCUUUCGGAAGAGCAGGGAGGAGGACCCUGGGGCGUCUCUGAGCGGUAGUCAUCUCCGUGCUGGACUUUCCUGAGGGCCGGCUGUCCGAGCCUGUGUGCAGGCAGCUUCCUACUGACCCUCGUGCUUUUCCCCGGGGAAAGGCCAGACCACAUGACUGCGGGGUGCACACGGCGCCACGGCCCGGCUUUUGGAGAGUUGCUGGUUAUAAAGCCAUGCCAUCACCUACCCUGAGACCCAGCAGCCCCGCUACCUGGAUACUCAGCGACAGAAGUGACCACACGCACCAGGCAUGGAGCUCAGUGACGUUUGCCGCAGCCCCAGACGGGAAACCACCCAAAAGCCGAUCAAUAGGAGAAUAGAUAAACAAGUGACGGCCUCGUCAUAGGAGGGGAUAAAGCAACAAAAAUGAGCAGUAAAAUCAACAGUAAGAGGCGCGCCUGGGUGGCUCAGUCAUUAAGCAUCUGCCUUCGGCUCAGGUCGUGAUCCCGGGCUCCUGGGAUCCA